UAUUAAAAAUUUUAUCCAUUUUUGCUGUUAAAAACUGGCGUGCCUAAUAGAAUAACCAAAUAGUUACACAUGGCAUACUAUGUGUACCUCAUUUUAACAUACAAACCAAUUUUCAGUAGUAGAAAUGGUUGAAAUUUUUAACA
rfam:Gossypium hirsutum cultivar TM-1 unplaced genomic scaffold scaffold26.1, whole genome shotgun sequence